AGAAGUUUGAUCCUGGCUCAGGACGAACGCUGGCGGUGCGCCUUAUGCAUGCAAGUCGAGCGAAGCUUUUCAGUAGUUUACUACAGAAAAUGACUGAGCGGCGAACGGGUGAGUAACGCGUGAGCAAUCUACCUUAGUUACAGGGAUAGCCCGAGGAAACUCGGAUUAAUACCUGAUAUUCUUUUUAUCUCGCAUGAGAUUUUAAGGAAAGGUCAGCCGAACUAAGAUGAGCUCGCGUUCUAUCAGCUAGUUGGUGAGGUAAUAGCUCACCAAGGCUACGACGGAUAGCUGGUCUGAGAGGACGAUCAGCCACACUGGGACUGAGACACGGCCCAGACUCCUACGGGAGGCUGCA
rnacentral:rRNA from 1 species